rnacentral:lncRNA from 1 species
AUUAUUUGUCUAAUAAUAAGUCUUUACUGUAAAAGCAUGGUGCAUUUAAAGCAACUUCGUCACAAUGUUCUCCAUUCUGUUGCACUACCUGUUGCUCAAAUUUUGAUUAGGUACUUUCAUUGCAUUAUUUGUCUGAUAAUAAGUCUUUACUGUAAAAGCAUGGUGCAUUUAAAGCAACUUCGUCACAAUGUUCUCCAUUCUGUUGCACUACCUGUUGCUCAAAUUUUGAUUAGGUACUUUCAUUGCAUUAUUUGUCUGAUAAUAAGUCUUUACUGUAAAAGCAUGGUGUAUUUAAAGCAACUUUUUUCUACAUGGCAGCACAGUCAUUAAGACAAGCAACCGAUUUGAGCAAAAAAUUAAAAAAUGCUGUAAAUAUCCUAAU